GCCAUCUACAAAAAGGGACCAUACUAUACAGAGUGUGGAGCAAUGAUAGAUGGUUUGUUGGUAACAAAACGUUUGGUGUGGUAUCGCAUUUAAUAGUAGUGUGGGGGGUGGGAGAGCAGGGCCGUAGGAAGCUUCUUUCGUUUGGGGGCGCUGAAAGCGAGGGCCGAAGGCCCGAGGAAAUUUUUAAAUUUAGAGUCUCUGAAAUGCCAUUUCCUGGACUUUGGGGAAGAUUUGACAGAUUUCUGAUUGUCAAAAAACAGCGUUUUUAGUAUGUGGAAAUUUAGAGUUCAGUAGUACUAAAUGGGCGAAAGUGUAUUUAAUUAACGAUAUUUUGGAUAAGUUGCAGGAAAGUAUGGGUAAUAUCUUCAUUCUUUGAAGUCUGUCAUGGAUUAAAUGAUAAAGGUCUGCAUGAUUUUGAAAAAUGAAUGAUUAUUAGCAAAUUAUUGGGGGCUGCAGCCCCCCAGCCCUCCCCCCCCCCGCGGUUGCUACGGCCC